AACAGGUGGUUGCUAAGGUGUUGCUAGGUGGUUGCUAUGGUGUUGCUAGGUUGUUGCUAAGGUGUUGCUAUGGUAUCCGGGGUGGUUGCUAAGAUGUUGCUAGGUGGUUGCUAACGUGUUGCUAGGUGGUUGCUAAGGUGUUGCUAUGGUAUCCGGGGUGGUUGCUAAGGUGUUGCUAGGGUGUUGCUAGGUGGUUGCUAGGGUGUUGCUAGGUGGUUGCUAAGGUGUUGCUAUGGUAUCUGGGGUGGUUGCUAAUGUGUUGCUAGGUGGUUGCUAAGGUGUUGCUAUGGUAUCUGGGGUGGUUGCUAAAGUGUUGCUAGGGUGUUGCUAGGUGGUUGCUAGGGAGUUGCUAGGUGGUUGCUAAGGUGUUGCUAUGGUAUCUGGGGUGGUUGCUAAGGUGUUGCUAGGUGGUUGCUAGGGUGUUGCUAUGGUAUCCGGGGUGGUUGCUAAGGUGUUGCUAGGUGGUUGCUAGGUGGUUGCUAAGGUGUUGCUAGGUGGUUGCUAGGUGGUUGCUAAGAUGUUGCUAUGUGGUUGCUAAGGUGUUGCUAUGGUAUCCUGGGUGGUUGCUAAGGUGUUGCUAGGUGGUUGCUAAGGUGUUGCUAUGCGGUUGCUAAGGUGUUGCUAUGGUACCUGGGGUGGUUGCUAAGGUGUUGCUAGGUGGUUGCUAGGGUGUUGCUAUGGUAUCCGGGGUGGUUGCUAAGGUGUUGCUAGGUGGUUGCUAGGUGGUUGCUAAGGUGUUGCUAGGUGGUUGCUAAGGUGUUGCUAUGGUAUCCUGGGUGGUUGCUAAGGUGUUGCUAGGUGGUUGCUAAGGUGUUGCUAUGUGGUUGCUAAGGUGUUACUAUGGUACCUGGGGUGGUUGCUUAGGUGGUUGCUAGGUGGUUGCUAGGGUGUUGCUAUGGUAUCCGGGGUGGUUGCUAAGGUGUUACUAGGUGGUUGCUAUGUGGUUGCUAAGGUGUUGCUAUAUGGUUGCUAGGCAGUUGCUAACAUAUUCCACAUGGUUACUAAGUGGUUGCUAGGCAGUUGCUGUAAUUUCUAAAGUGGUUGCUAAGCUGUUGCUAGGCAGUUGCUAACGUUUUCCAGUUGGUUGCUAAGGUGUUGCUAAGUGGUUGCUAGGCAGUAACUAUCAUUUCUAAAUUGGUUGCUAAGUGGAUGCUAGGCAGUUUGCUAACAUAUUCCACGUGAUUGCUAGGUGGUUGCUAAGCAGUUGCUAACAUAUUCCACAUGAUUGCUAAGUGGUUGCUAGGCAGUUGAUUAUGUUUUUCAGGUGGUUGCUAAGCUGUUGCUAUUUGGUUGCUAGGCAGUUGCUAUCAUUUCUAGAGUGGUUGCUAAGAUGUUGCUAUGCAGUUGCUAACGUUUUCUAGGUGGUUGCUAAGGUGGUUGCUAAGCAGUUAUUAGGUGGUUGCUAAGCCCUGGCUGGGGUGCCGGGGUGUCCAAACUUUUGACUGAUAGCUGCUCCAUACAGCAGCUCCUCCAUACACUCACAGUACUGGAGGAGCAG